GUGCACCAGGCGCGAAACCUCCGCAAUACACGAAAGUGUGACGGGCCAUCCCGAGUGCCGUCCGCUGAGGACGGCUUUCCCCAGUGUACAUAGCUGGGGAAUAAGGAGAGGGCAAGCCUGGUGUCAGCCGCCGCGGUAAUACCAGCUCUCCGAGUGGUGGGGACGGCUUAUUGGGCCUAAAGCAUCCGUAGCCGGCUAGGCAAGUCCUCCGUUAAAUCCAACGAUUCAAUCGUUGGGCUGCGGGGGAUACUGUCCAGCUUGGGGGCGGGAGAGGCCGACGGUAUUCCCGGGGUAGGGGUGAAAUCCUAUAAUCCCGGGAGGACCACCAGUGGCGAAGGCUGUCGGCUAGAACGCGCCCGACGGUGAGGGAUGAAAGCUGGGGGAGCGAACCGGAUUAGAUACCCCUGUAGU
rnacentral:rRNA from 1 species